rnacentral:tRNA from 1 species
GGAGUUGUAGCUCAGUGGUAGAGCACUGGCCUAGCAUGUGUGAGGCCCUGGGUUCAAUUCUUAGCACUUCA